AAUGAACGUUGGCGGCGUGGAUUAGGCAUGCAAGUCGAGCGAGAACCCAGCAAUGGGGGACAGCGGCGCAAGGGACAGUAAUGUGUAGAUCAUCUGCCCUCAGGUCCGGGAUAGCUGCGGGAAACUGCAGGUAAUACCGGAUAACAUCUCCGGAUCAAAGGUGUGAUUCCGCCUGAGGAUGAGUCUACAUCCUAUUAGCUAGUUGGUAGGGUAACGGCCUACCAAGGCGAUGAUGGGUAGCGGGUGUGAGAGCACGACCCGCGUCAUUGGGACUGAGACACUGCCCAGACACCUACGGGUGGCUGCAGUCGAGAAUCUUCGGCAAUGGGCGCAAGCCUGACCGAGCGACGCCGCGUGUGGGAUGAAGGCCUUCGGGUUGUAAACCACUGUCAGAGGGGAUGAAAUGCAGGUGGGUUCUCCCAUCUGUUUGACAUAGCCUCAGAGGAAGGACGGGCUAAGUUCGUGCCAGCAGCAGCCGCAGUAA
rnacentral:rRNA from 1 species